rnacentral:rRNA from 1 species
UCGAACGNCAGCGGGGGGAGCUGCUUUCCCGCCCGGCGAGUGCGGACGGGUGAGUAAUGCCUGGGAGCUGCCCAAUCGAGGGGAUACCAGUUGGANACGACUGCUAAUACCGCAUACGCCUCGAGGGGGANAGAUGGGAUUCUUCGGACCUAUCGCGAUGNGAUGCACCCAGGUGGGAUUAGCUAGUUGGUGAGGUAACGGCUCACCAAGGCGACGAUCUCUAGCUGGUCUGAGAGGAUGACCAGCCACACUGGAACUGAGACACGGUCCAGACUCCUACGGGAGGCAGCAGUGGGGAAUAUUGCACAAUGGGGGAAACCCUGAUGCAGCCAUGCCGCGUGUGUGAAGAAGGCCUUCGGGUUGUAAAGCACUUUCAGCGAGGAGGAAAGGUUGGCAGCUAAUACCUGUCAGCUGUGACGUUACUCGCAGAAGAAGCACCGGCUAACUCCGUG